UACAUGGGGUGCAAACGUUGCUCGGAAUUAUUGGGCGUAAAGCGCGCGUAGGCGGUUACUUAAGUCGGAUGUGAAAGCCCUCGGCUUAACUGAGGAAGUGCACCCGAAACUGAGUAGCUAGAGUACGAAAGAGGGUCGCGGAAUUCCCGGUGUAGAGGUGAAAUUCGUAGAUAUCGGGAGGAACACCGGUGGCGAAGGCGACUCUUUGGCCUGUAACUGACACUGAGGCGCGAAAGCGUGGGGAGCAAACAGG
rnacentral:rRNA from 1 species